ACCUGGCUGGCUCAGUCUGUGGAGCAUGUGACUCUUGAUCUUGGGGUUGUGAGUUCGAGCCCCAUGUUGGGUG
rfam:Ailuropoda melanoleuca scaffold858_24, whole genome shotgun sequence.